UAUUGUGUCCAAUGCUUCCAUUGCACAGAUCAGAAAGUGGGGCACUGAGAGGAAGAAUGACUUGUCUGAAGCCGCUAUGCCUGCUUUCCAGGAAGAAAACUGUCACAAUCAGAACUGAGCAACCAAGCCACACUAGACAUUACAGCAGAGGAAGUUUAUGGAAAUGAAGAACCAUUUUUCCUCCUGUUUGGCAGAGGCCAUACCUCUUGGCAUCUGAUCCCUCAUGGUUGCAUCCUUCUGAGAAGCAUAAGCACUUUUUUCCACUUGAGAGGGUAGAAUGAAUGCAUGUAAACACCACCUCUGCACAGAGCUUCCUGCCAAAGACUGAUUUUGUUGUUGCUUGUUUGCAAUUCUCAUUCAGGAGUUGCUGGUGGAGGCUGUGGUUUGGAGACCAGAGGAAUGUCGCGGUUUGCCUCAGGCUCCUUCACAUUUGAUCUCUGUGCAAUUUGAUAAGAGGAGGAAAUGGGCUGUCAAUUAUGAAGAGACUGAAAACCUGAAAAUACUGAGUAUGGUCUUAGUUCCCUCUCCAAAUGGAGCUCAGGAAAAAUGCCAAGCCACACAAGCCACUGAUUACUCAUCUGGCUAUUGUUUCUACCUCACCCUGGCCCAGGAAGACAGAUCUACUGAGGAAAGCACACGAAGACCCAGGAUAAGACCAGUCCGACCUGCCUAUACGGAGCUUUGGAUGAGAGAUCAUCUUAGAUUUUUCUGCCAC